CAGCCUUGAGAUUAGUGGGCCAUGAAAACCCUAACUUCACACCAACUUGCUUUCUUUAUUUCUCUAUUUACCCAGCAAAAAAUACACUAGAGUUAAGAAUAAGCUUAAAAAAUUCAUCUUGAGGAAAUCUAAGGCAGUAUGGUUAUGCAUCAUUUACCUUCUUCUCUACUUGAGACCCACCUUAGAAGUUUCUGGACCAGAUGAGAGGGCUUUUGAGGAUGUAGCAAAUCUAGCCAAGGUGGUGAGGAGAGCUAGUAUAGUCCAUUUGAGUGUGCUGAGAUGGAAGAUUUGUGGCAGAGACAGAUCCAGGUUUUUCGGGAACUGAAGACAAUAACAUUUGGAAACCUCUUUAAGUAAAAGAAUGCAAAAGGAAGCCAGAGUGUCAGUGUGUUGAGCAAACUCUAUAUGGAGGGACAGAACAUAGACAGAAGCAUUGCUGUAUUGUUUGUCCAAGAAGGCCAGUUUGAUGGAUGAAAUUUGCCUUGCUGUAUUGUUAUUAAUUUUUAAUGUCUAUAUUCUCUUUCUUUAAAAAUCACCUAUUAAAUAU